rnacentral:rRNA from 1 species
GGUUAAGUGACUAAGCGUACACGGUGGAUGCCUGGGCAGUCAGAGGCGAUGAAGGACGUACUAACUUGCGAUAAGCGCAGAUAAGGCAGUAAGAGCCGUUUGAGUCUGCGAUUUCCGAAUGGGGAAACCCAACUGCAUAAGCAGUUACUGUUAACUGAAUACAUAGGUUAACAGAGCAAACCGGGGGAACUGAAACAUCUAAGUACCCCGAGGAGAAGAAAUCAACCGAGAUUCCGGUAGUAGCGGCGAGCGAACCUGGAUUAGCCCUUAAGCACUCGGUGAAGUAGGUGAACAAGCUGGAAAGCUUGGCGAUACAGGGUGAUAGCCCCGUAACCGACGCUUCAUCGAGCGUGAAAUCGAGUAGGGCGGGACACGUGAUAUCCUGUCUGAAUAUGGGGGGACCAUCCUCCAAGGCUAAAUACUCCUGACUGACCGAUAGUGAACCAGUACCGUGAGGGAAAGGCGAAAAGAACCCCUGUGAGGGGAGUGAAAUAGAACCUGAAACCGUGUACGUACAAGCAGUAGGAGCACCUUCGUGGUGUGACUGCGUACCUUUUGUAUAAUGGGUCAGCGACUUAUAUUCAGUGGCAAGGUUAACCGUAUAGGGGAGCCGUAGCGAAAGCGAGUCUUAACUGGGCGCUCAGUCUCUGGAUAUAGACCCGAAACCGGGUGAUCUAGCCAUGGGCAGGUUGAAGGUUGAGUAACAUCAACUGGAGGACCGAACCGACUAAUGUUGAAAAAUUAGCGGAUGACUUGUGGCUAGGGGUGAAAGGCCAAUCAAACUCGGAGAUAGCUGGUUCUCCCCGAAAGCUAUUUAGGUAGCGCCUCGGACGAAUACUACUGGGGGUAGAGCACUGUUAAGGCUAGGGGGUCAUCCCGACUUACCAACCCUUUGCAAACUCCGAAUACCAGUAAGUACUAUCCGGGAGACACACGGCGGGUGCUAACGUCCGUCGUGGAGAGGGAAACAACCCAGACCGCCAGCUAAGGUCCCAAAGUAUUGCUAAGUGGGAAACGAUGUGGGAAGGCUCAGACAGCUAGGAUGUUGGCUUAGAAGCAGCCAUCAUUUAAAGAAAGCGUAAUAGCUCACUAGUCGAGUCGGCCUGCGCGGAAGAUGUAACGGGGCUAAGCAAUACACCGAAGCUGCGGCAAUAUCUUUUAGAUAUUGGGUAGGGGAGCGUUCUGUAAGCCGUUGAAGGUGAAUCGUAAGGUUUGCUGGAGGUAUCAGAAGUGCGAAUGCUGACAUGAGUAACGACAAAGGGGGUGAAAAACCUCCUCGCCGGAAGACCAAGGGUUCCUGUCCAACGUUAAUCGGGGCAGGGUGAGUCGACCCCUAAGGUGAGGCCGAAAGGCGUAAUCGAUGGGAAACGGGUUAAUAUUCCCGUACUUCUGACUAUUGCGAUGGGGGGACGGAGAAGGCUAGGUGGGCCAGGCGACGGUUGUCCUGGUUCAAGUGCGUAGGCUUGAGAGUUAGGUAAAUCCGGCUCUCUCUAAGGCUGAGACACGACGUCGAGCUGCUACGGCAGUGAAGUCAUUGAUGCCAUGCUUCCAGGAAAAGCCUCUAAGCUUCAGAUAGUCAGGAAUCGUACCCCAAACCGACACAGGUGGUCGGGUAGAGAAUACCAAGGCGCUUGAGAGAACUCGGGUGAAGGAACUAGGCAAAAUGGUACCGUAACUUCGGGAGAAGGUACGCUCUUGAUGGUGAAGUCCCUCGCGGAUGGAGCUGACGAGAGUCGCAGAUACCAGGUGGCUGCAACUGUUUAUUAAAAACACAGCACUGUGCAAAAUCGCAAGAUGACGUAUACGGUGUGACGCCUGCCCGGUGCCGGAAGGUUAAUUGAUGGGGUUAGCGCAAGCGAAGCUCUUGAUCGAAGCCCCGGUAAACGGCGGCCGUAACUAUAACGGUCCUAAGGUAGCGAAAUUCCUUGUCGGGUAAGUUCCGACCUGCACGAAUGGCGUAAUGAUGGCCACGCUGUCUCCACCCGAGACUCAGUGAAAUUGAAAUCGCUGUGAAGAUGCAGUGUACCCGCGGCUAGACGGAAAGACCCCGUGAACCUUUACUACAGCUUGGCACUGAACAUUGAACCUACAUGUGUAGGAUAGGUGGGAGGCUAUGAAGACGUGACGCCAGUUGCGUUGGAGCCGUCCUUGAAAUACCACCCUUGUAUGUUUGAUGUUCUAACUUAGACCCGUUAUCCGGGUUGAGGACAGUGCCUGGUGGGUAGUUUGACUGGGGCGGUCUCCUCCCAAAGAGUAACGGAGGAGCACGAAGGUGGGCUAAUCACGGUUGGACAUCGUGAGGUUAGUGCAAUGGCAUAAGCCCGCUUAACUGCGAGAAUGACGGUUCGAGCAGGUGCGAAAGCAGGUCAUAGUGAUCCGGUGGUUCUGUAUGGAAGGGCCAUCGCUCAACGGAUAAAAGGUACUCCGGGGAUAACAGGCUGAUACCGCCCAAGAGUUCAUAUCGACGGCGGUGUUUGGCACCUCGAUGUCGGCUCAUCACAUCCUGGGGCUGAAGUCGGUCCCAAGGGUAUGGCUGUUCGCCAUUUAAAGUGGUACGCGAGCUGGGUUUAGAACGUCGUGAGACAGUUCGGUCCCUAUCUGCCGUGGGCGUUGGAAGAUUGAAGGGGGCUGCUCCUAGUACGAGAGGACCGGAGUGGACGAACCUCUGGUGUUCGGGUUGUGUCGCCAGACGCAUUGCCCGGUAGCUAAGUUCGGAAUUGAUAAGCGCUGAAAGCAUCUAAGCGCGAAGCGAGC